rnacentral:rRNA from 1 species
UACGUAGGUGGCAAGCGUUGUCCGGAAUUAUUGGGCGUAAAGCGCGCGCAGGCGGUCCUUUAAGUCUGAUGUGAAAGCCCACGGCUCAACCGUGGAGGGUCAUUGGAAACUGGGGGACUUGAGUGCAGAAGAGGAAAGCGGAAUUCCACGUGUAGCGGUGAAAUGCGUAGAGAUGUGGAGGAACACCAGUGGCGAAGGCGGCUUUCUGGUCUCUAACUGACGCUGAGGCGCGAAAGCGUGGGGAGCAAACAGG